AACGAACGCUGGCGGCAGGCCUAACACAUGCAAGUCGAGCGCCCUUUCGGGGGAGCGGCGGACGGGUGAGUAACGCGUGGGAAUAUGCCCUUCUCUACGGAAUAGCCUCGGGAAACUGAGAGUAAUACCGUAUACGCCCUGUGGGGGAAAGAUUUAUCGGGGAAGGAUUGGCCCGCGUUGGAUUAGGUAGUUGGUGGGGUAAUGGCCUACCAAGCCGACGAUCCAUAGCUGGUUUGAGAGGAUGAUCAGCCACACUGGGACUGAGACACGGCCCAGACUCCUACGGGAGGCAGCAGUGGGGAAUCUUAGACAAUGGGGGCAACCCUGAUCGAGCCAUGCCGCGUGAGUGAUGAAGGCCUUAGGGUUGUAAAGCUCUUUCAGCUGGGAAGAUAAUGACGGUACCAGCAGAAGAAGCCCCGGCUAACUCCGUG
rnacentral:rRNA from 1 species